ACCUGAGUCAAAGUCGGAUGCUUAACUGACUGAGCCACCCAGGUGCCCUGAGAAAUAUAUGACACCAUUGGAAACAUUGGUUAUGUUACCAAGGCUUGGACUGGAAUGUCAUAUUUGAGAGAGACAUGCAUUGACUCAGAUAUGACCGGACAGAAUUAAGGAUUUGAGGUUGACUUUAUGGAGCCAAUGAAGCCCCUUGGAAAUGUUGGCCUGAUACUUUACUUACAGAGUUCCAAGAAGCCAUACCAGAUACAUGUAAGCAGUUCCUGACUUCUUUGCCCAGCCAACAGAGAUCCUUACUACUUGAAAUAAAUCCACCUGACAUUCACUCUGUACUCUACAACAAUGGCCUUCCGUAAUAGUUACUUGUAGGGAUAGAAAGUGGCCAAUUUCAGUUCACAGGUAAGGACAUCUCUAUAACCCCUAUCAGCUUAAAAAAGUUACAGAAGAUGAGCCCUUCACUCUUCAACAGCCCUAAAGAUUUAAGGACCAAAAAUUGGUUGGGGGUGGGGGGAAUGAUGAAGGAUAGAAGCAGAAAAAUGUUCACCUUCAGCCUGGAAGGCUGAUCUAUAGCCUGCAUAUUUCUGAUAAGGAUCAAGUAUGCAUUGGUUGCUACCUUCUUAAAGGGUCUCACGACUGCCUGUAUAUCUUACUGAUAAUUAAUAUCAAACUGAAUGAGAAGUGCCAGAGAAAUCAUCAAAAGUAGUUUUAUGAGUAGAAAUUAAAAGAAGACAUUUGUGAUCUAAUAUUCCCUGCAUGUCCCCUCCCCCUUGAGCACUAAGCAUAUAACCUACCAGCUUCAGGGGUUCCUGGGUGGCUCAGUCGGUUUGCAUCCAACUUUGGCUCAGGUCAUGAUCUCACGGUUUGUGGGUUCGAGCCUGUGCUGACGGCUCAGAGCCUGGAGCCUGUUUCAGAUUCUGUCUCCCUGUCUCUCUGCCCCUCCCCACUCAUCCUCUGUCUCCCUCUGUCUCAACAAUAAACAUACAUUAAAAAAAAUUACAUUAUAACCCAGCAGCUUCAUAGAGCAAAGGUGCAGUUCUUUCUGCCUACAGGUUCUGUCUCCGUGCUACUUACUUUCUAUAGGUUAUAGCAUACAAUAUCUGAAGAAUUCUUUCUUUGCCUUUGAGCUCAUGACCCUGCAAUAAAACUAUAUAGGUAAUGGGUGUUUCAGUGGUAGAUUUUAACUUACUAGUUCAGUUUUUUCCAGUUCCAAUUUGGUAGGUAGCAUAUUCCAAGAAAUUUGCCAUUUAAUUUUUUUUAACUGUUUACUGUUUAUAUAGUAUUAAAAUGAAAAUAUUCUCUGCAUCUCUAAUUUAUUUUAGUUCCUGAAAUUAUUUGUGCCUCUGUUCACACCCUGAUUAUAUCCACAAAUGCAUUUUUUUUUAUUAAUUAUUUUUAUUUUAUUACAUUCUCCAUAAAUAUAAUCCUAUUUUUCUCACACUUUCUCCUUAAAAUGCAAAUUACCUAGAAGAUGAACUUUUUAGGUUUUUAAAGUCUAGAAUUGUAUUUCUGGGGCUUUUAUUCCAAAAGUAUUUUUUGGCUGGACAUAGAAGAUUUACAAGAAAAUCUUUUUUUCAUUUUCAAAACUAUAAAAUUGUAUUCUCAAUGAUUUUUUUUUAGCAUUUUGUGUAGUUGCAGAAGAAUAAAUUUUGGAGACAUUGUAUCCUAAAAGGAUAAAGCACCAAUUGACCUAUUAUAGUUGGUUAAUUUCUUUUUUUACUGACUAUAGAACUAAGUGAGAUAUAUUACCUUAACAAUGAACGUAUAGAUUAAAAAAGAAAGGAAGGGGUCAGCAAACUUCUUGGCAGGAAUUGAGUAGACUCCUAAAGGUAAUUUUAAAGUCUAUUCUCAUCCUCAAAUAUAGGAGUAACUGCUGUUUUUAAAAGCACUAUGCUAUAUUUUAUUAAGAUAACUGAUGAGAGUUGCCCUUAAUAAAUUUGCAUUCCAGUUGGAAUGCCAAUUUAUAUAGCUUUGAAAAAAGUGAAUGAAUAAAAAUGUAAAAUAAGCUGCUAAAUUGUAUGCUAAACUGUCUGAGAUAAUGUCAAUUCAUGGCUGAAAAUAUUUAAGAUAGGGAUAAAUCAAUAUAUCUCCUCUAAGGUAAUAAAAAUGUUACUAUGACCUAGUGAAGUACAUUUGAAUCCCAUUCAAGAUUGUGUUCCUUUUUCUUCUCUUUUCUGCUUUUGAGAUCUAGAUCUCUUGUUUUGUCUGAGAAACUGCAUUUUAGAGACAUUUCCAGGCUCAUUUGGAAAGCUAAGGGUUUUGUUUUGUUUUGUUUUGUUUCAGUAAAUGUGUGAUUAAUUUUACUUCUUACUAAUAGAAGAUCAGUUUGAAUUAAAAUGUUUCACACAUUCUUGUCAUUUAAUAUAUUUAUUUAGAGGAGACAUCAUAUUUGUGGUUUAAAUUAAGUAAUGAGAGAUAGUUGCCUGUUUCAUUUUAGAAUUUUCCCCACCAUUCAAUUUUAUUUUAAAAUUAUUUUCAUACUGUUAACAUAGAGGAUCAUCGCUGAAUCACUACAUAUGUAUCUGUAUAAAUGUUAUGUAGGAAAAUCAUUUAUUUUGUUUUUGAUUCAUUUUUCUCAUGUGAAUUGUACAAAAGCCAAACUAAAGAAACAGUCAGUAAGAAUUGAAUUGAAAGGCCUUUGACUAAACUGAAUAUAAAAUCUUUUUGUAGUUCUUGCCAACAGAAUUUUUACAUGCUUCUAUUGAAAACUGAGAUUGAGAUGUGUAGACUUUUGUUUUCAGAGAAUAUUGUAUCAAAGCCAAGUUAUGCUGGUGUUUGAAAAUUAUUACACACCACACGCCACCUUCCUUGUCAGAGGAAAUUCAGUCUUUGGAGUCAAAUGACAUAAGGAACCAAGAUGAUUAAUUCCCACUGCCUCCCACUUCCCAUUGGUAGAAGACUCGAGAAACUCAAGUUUUACUCUCUUUAUUCUAUCUGAUUAAAUGAUCUGACAUUUAUAAGAGUCCUCUGGUAACUACAGCUAACUAUCACAGACUCCAUCAUCAGGAAGUUUUCCAAUCUUCUUUUGUUCACCAGUGAGAGAACAUAUAGAUUUUUGUUUAUCUAUUUUAAAGAAAAGGAAUUUGAUCUGAAAAAAUUCAUUUUUAAGUAACUGAUGGUUCACGAAGAGGUUUGAACUAUAUUCUGCUAAGUUUUUAAGACAUUACUUGAAAGUGAAAUAACAGAUUUUCUUUUUGCAAGUAGAACUCAAUGUAUUAAGAAGAAGGAGGAGGAAGAGGAGGAGGAGGGUGAGGAGGGGAGGGGAUGUGGAGGAGGAGGGGGUGUAGAAGAGAAAAAAAUAUCCAGGAAGGGAGAUCUGAGCUUACUAGAUUUCUCCAGUCAUCACCAUAGCUGUAACAGAUGUACCUGAGGAAGUUUUUAGCUUGUCAAAUGAUCUCUUUCUGAAAAUGAAGCAAGGUUAAAAUAAAGAUCUGCCUAACUGAUUCCCUGGUUUAGUUCCAGCAUGUGCAAUAAUGCAGUUUUGAAGUGUGGAGUACUUAGUCAUUAAGCCUGCAGGGGAGAAACCCAGUUCACAAGUUUGACCACAGCACCAGUGUGAUAUCCCAUUAACCCUUUGAAAGCAAGGCUUCCCAAGGUAACGGGAAAUUCUCCUAUUUUGUACUCACCUACUGGAUGCUGCCAUUUGUUUUUUAUUAAAAAUUAUUUAUGCUUAUUUUUGAGACAGAGAGAA